rnacentral:sRNA from 1 species
UCCUUGAAGACACCCCACCAUCACCGACCUUCUCAAGCCCGGCUUCGGCCGGGCUCUU